CUCCGGUGUUGCCCGGAAAGCGCUCCGCCGCGCCCGGCGGGACGAGGGCCGGGCGCGCGCAGCGGUACUGGGCGGAGCGGAAGACGCGUGGAGCCGUGCGAGGACCCGCGUGUUGUGCAGUGCAUCUAUGAUAUGUGUUUUAGAAAUAAAAGUUAAACUUUGGUUUGAAUGAAAAAUGUCUCUCAAUACACCUACAUUUCUCAAAGAAAGGGAAGAAGAUAAUUCAAAAUUUGUGGAAAUACAACAGUCACAAACUACAUCCAUAGCUGCAGAAUAUCCUCUUCAAAACUUACGCUUAGCAUCUCAAGAAGUUCUUCAAAAAGCUCAGCAAAAUGGAAGAUCAAAAUGUCUCAGGUGUGGUGGUUCAAGAAUGUUCUACUGCUAUACAUGUUACGUCCCAGUUGAGAAUGUACCUAUUGAACAGAUACCACGUGUGAAGCUUCCAUUGAAGAUUGACAUCAUUAAACAUCCAAAUGAAACAGACGGCAAAAGCACUGCUAUACAUGCAAAACUCUUAGCACCUGAAUUUGUGAAUAUUUAUACAUAUCCUUGUAUUCCAGAAUAUGAAGAAAAAGACCAUGAAGUUGCACUUGUUUUUCCUGGACCUAAGUCUGUUUCAGUAAAAGAAAUUUCUUUUCAUCUCCAAGAAAAGAUUCAAAAUAAUGUUGGAGUCAAAAAUGAUGACCUUGACAAGCCAUUCAUUAAACGCAAGAAAACUGAAGAACAGGAUUUGAAUGACAGCAAGUGCAAAGACACAACACUGAAAAAAAUUGUAUUCAUAGAUAGCACCUGGAACCAAACAAACAAAAUAUUCACUGAUGAGAGACUGCAAGGGUUGCUACAAGUUGAGUUGAAAACAAGAAAAACUUGCUUUUGGCGCCAUCAAAAAGGAAAGCCAGAUACCUUCCUUUCCACAAUUGAAGCCAUUUACUACUUUCUGGUGGCAAGAACUUGCCUUAGAAUGAAGCCAGCAAAAGAAAGCAGAGUGGAAAGAUAAAAAGACUGAGUCCUGAGGACAUCAUUUAAUCAUCUAAUCUAGCUGCUUGUGAAUGGAACCCUACUGUGCUGAAUAGCUUCUGUUUGCCCUCUGGAUCCACCCUCCACUCUUUCCCAUUCUGCUCUCUGCUCUGUGAGGAAAAAGGAAGAAUGACUGGCAGGCAGAACCAGAAUCCCAGAGGGAGGAGCCAAGAAGCAAGAAAAUCUGGACUGAGAGAAGCCACUCCCAAGUAACUGCACCUGAGGAACAAUACCUGAGGCAUUUUCUCCACAUCUGGACCUAAUUUAGAUGAUAAGAUACUGAACUUAAACUAAUGUCAUCAUGGGAUGAGACUUUUAGGGUUUCUUGGGCUUCUACAUAGACAGCUCUAUCAUCUGUGAAUAGAGACUGUUUUGUUUCUUCCUUCCCAAAGAGGUGGUGGAGCCUCAAAGAGCUAAGACCUGCCAGGUCAAGUGUCUGAUUGGAAGCACUACAGCAGACUCCUGCCAGGGUCUGCCAUGUGCAUGCAGCAGGAUACUGUGUGGUGAAGACACAUUGAAGUGGUUACAGAAUAUUGAGCAGAGUUCCCUGUAUUGACUCUUACAGACUGUUAAUGAGUAGCAAGUGGCAAAGCCAGAGCUCGACCCACACAUUCCACUCCAGCUAAGGUUUUCAAAAGAGAGCUGGAUCCACUCGAAAGCCAUGCCACCCUCUCAAUGUUCCCACACUGCUUCCAGACUGACCUUUCAGUUCCCCACACAGGAAUGCAAGCUCCAUGAAGGUAGAAACGAUCUAGUUCACUGCUGUAUCCACAGCGACUGGAAUGGCACCAGACAUAUGCUUGAUACAGAUGAACAUAGCAACCUUGGAAGGCACAUCUUAAAGAUGGAAGAGCCACCAGAUGGCAGGAUCCUGGGACCCUGAAUCACCACUUGGAAGAGAGCAGCACAUCAAUCAAGAAUACACAUUUGGACCUUUCUUGAGUGAGAAAUAAGCUUCCGUUGCAUUUAAGCCUUUAUAGAUUUGGGGAUUGUUAGUUACAGCAGAUAGCAUUAUCUAAACUAAUACAGAGUAGAAUCCAAGUCUCCUGACUCCUAGUUCAGUUCUGUUCCCUCCAAUCCACAAAUCCACAUGAUAAUAUAAUACCCAAAUUUUAACCCUAAUAAAUAUAUAAAUCACAUUCUAAGUCAUCUAAGAGUGUUAAUACAUGAAGAAUCAAAAUAAAUUGGUAUUAAAAGGGGCAUCUGCAAUGCAUGUAGUUCUGUGUGAAACAACGGAGAAGGAUGACUCUGACGAACAAACCCAGAGUCCAGUUUAUAACAAGGUUAGUGCUUGAGCCACUGAUAUGCCAUUUCUGCAUUCCAAGGUUAGGCAGAGUAUUCUGAGGGUUAUAACAGGCAGUUUCCCUUGGCUGAUCUGGAUGUGGCAUGCUAUAAACCCACAUCU